rnacentral:lncRNA from 1 species
UUUUUUUUUUGGUAGAGACGGGGUUUUGCUGUGUUGCCCAGGCUGGUCUCACACUUCUGGGCUCCAGCAAUCCCCCCACCUCGGCCUCCCAAAGUUUUGGAAUUACAGGUGUGUGGCUUAGCGCCCAGCCCAGGUUUUUCUUUUCUUCUCCCCACCACACAAGCCUUUCCGAACUUGGGCGUUGCCUCCCACUUUCCUAUACCCCUUCCCAUCCAUGGCUUGUUUUUGUUUUGAUUCAGAACAGGCAGAAAUUAAUCUACCUGAUAUACAGAAAUUCAUAUAGAUGAAUUUCUACCUGUUCUGAAUCAAAACACAAGCCAUGUGCAGUGCAUGCCUGUAGUCCCAGCUACUUGGGAGGUGGCUUGAGAGGAUCACUUGAGCCCAGGAGUUCCAGUCCAGCCUGAGCAACACAGUGAGACCCUCAUCUCUAAAAAGCGAAUAAAAACAAAAAAAACACCAAAACAACCAGGAUGUCUCCCAUUUGCACUCCACUUAAGUGUGGAGACUUAGGCUGAUCACAUCACUGCACUCCAGCCUGAGUAACAGACUGAGACCCUGUCUCAAAAAACAAAAUGAGACAAAAAACCUGCUCGUAAUAAAGUGU